rnacentral:rRNA from 1 species
GCUGACGACUAGCGCGCAGGGGCCACACCCGUUCCCAUUCCGAACACGGCAGUUAAGACCUGUAGCGUCGAUGGUACUUGGCUCGAGAGGGCCUGGGAGAGUAGACCGUCGCCAGCC